UACACGUGUGCCCUGGACAGCCCCAGAAA
rnacentral:piRNA from 1 species